GAUGAAGAACGUAGCGAAAUGAGAUAAGUAAUGUGAAUUGCAGAAUUCAGUGAAUCAUCGAAUCUUUGAACGCACCUUGCACUCCUUGGUAUUCCGAGGAGUACGCCUGUUCGAGUGUUAUGAAGCUCUCAAAACGCAAUUGGCUUAAAACCUGAUUGUUGUUUUGGAUUUGAACUUUGCCGUGUUAUAACGGCUGGUUUUAAAAGUAUUAGCUGGUACUAGAACGAAUUGGUUCUACUCAACGUGAUAAUUAUCUGAUCGUUGAGGACAUUCCUUUCACGAGGAAUGGCCAUAGUAAAUUCAAUGGACUGCUUCUAAUCUGGCUUUAAUUCUUUAUUGGAUUAACCACUUUUCAAAUCUGACCUCGAAUCAGGUGGGACUACCCGCUGAACUUAAGCAUAUCAAUAAGCGGAGGA
rnacentral:misc_RNA from 1 species